rnacentral:rRNA from 1 species
UAGGGAAUCUUCGGCAAUGGACGAAAGUCUGACCGAGCAACGCCGCGUGAGUGAAGAAGGUUUUCGGAUCGUAAAACUCUUUUGUUAGAGAAGAACAAGGACGGUAGUAACUGAACGUCCCCUGACGGUAUCUAACCAGAAAGCCACGGCUAACUACGUGCCAGCAGCCGCGGUAAUACGUAUUUGGCAAGCGUUGUCCGGAUUUAUUGGGCUUAAAGCGAGCGCAGGCGGUUGCUUAAGUCUGAUGUGAAAGCCCCCGGCUAAACCGGGGAGGGUCAUUGGAAACUGGGAGACUGGAGUGCAGAAGAGGAAGGUGGAAUUCCAUGUGUGGCGGUGAAAUGCGUAGAUAUAUGGAGGAACACCAGUGGCGAAGGAGGCUGUCUGGUCUGUAACUGACGCUGAGGGUCGAAAGCGUGGGGAGCAAACAGG